GGUGGCUCAGUGGUAGAGUGCUUGCCUUGCAUGCAUGAGGUACUGGGUUCGAUUCCUCAGCACCA
rfam:Dipodomys ordii contig_36180, whole genome shotgun sequence.